rnacentral:lncRNA from 1 species
AGUCCAAAAAUAAGGAUACCAAAACUCUGGCUGCAGGUGAACCGUCAGGCCUGAGGGUAAAGAUGGUGUGGUCGGACCUACGUGUCUCCUUCAGGGAUAAGUAGUAGCUUGAGACUAUGCUGUGGUCAGCACCACGUGGUCCAGCGAGUCCAGACGGGCAUCAGUCACCCGGGUGGGUGAGCAGAGCUACACUCCCAUCCCUUCCCCAAAAUGCCCUUUUCUUUCCCCGCAUCCCUGCUGGGCGACUGGUUCCCGCUGGUCAGUAUUAGCUGAGCGGAACCCGGGAUCCCCAGGCUGAAGGCAGUUCCGCCUCCGAGCGUGCACACUGCGCCGGUUGCUGGAUAAAGUAGCCCUGACCCAAAGGCCUGGAGGGCCACUGUGCGGAAUUGGGAGUUACACUCCUCUGGAUUUCCAAGAAAACUCUCCUAACUUCUUCCUUUGGUUCGCAACUUGGUUCCCCCAUGUGUGGGACCCCUAACUCGCCCAUGUGACUCCUAACAGAGCAGGAGUUGUAUUCUUACAUCAUCCUUAACUGUGUUCUUUCAUCAGGGGCACAAAGAAUCAAGGACCAAGGAAGCGAGGGAAGCGCCUCCCUGUACCACCAGUGCUUUACAAAAUACCAACAAGCGGAACGUAGCUCAGUAAGGAAAUGAAAACACUUACAUGCCGACUCAGGCAUAGGCACACCUUCGCCCAGGGGCACAAAGAAUCAAGGACCAAGGAAGCGAGGGAAGCGCCUCCCUGUACCACCAGUGCUUUACAAAAUACCAACAAGCAGAACGUAGCUCAGUACGGAAAUGAGAACACUUACAUGCCGACUCAGGCAUAGGCACACCUUCGCCCAGGAUGCUGAGGAAUCACAGAAUGUCUCUCCAGAGGGCUCAGGUUGGAGCAGCGUGGUGCUACUUCCUCAGGUAGGAUGGAGACCAGAGAGGGGUGCUCCAUCCGAACACCCCAAGAACCUCUGUGGGGAGAGGGAACAGUGCCCACUGAGCAGUGUUUCCACCCGUGACUGCAAGGAGACAAAAGGCCCCACUUCCCCCACGUUUUCCUGGAAGACAGAGACACAGGGACCUCCAUUGCCAGCUGUGCCCUUUGGGACAGGAUCCCUAGGUUCUGCAGUGUCAGUUACUCAUGGACAACAGGCAUGGGCAGAGAGCCCACCGAGAGCGGCACGAAGAUGAGACUGCCUGGAAGGCGACUGGCCAAUAAUGGACACUGCUCCUUCUGCCACGGGAGGAUUUUGUCUUGUUACACUUGGUGUGUUACUUUGGAAAAAAAAAAAUCUAUACUUUAAAACAAAACAAAAACAUUUAAACACGUAAUUGUCAACUUGACUGGCGUAAGAGACUCCUUUGGGGUGAUGAGAUUCUGGGGCGCUGAAUACCCGGCUGUGCCCACCGCAGAGGUGGCCCGCUGGGGUGCCUGUGGAGGUUGCUGGUGCUCUGCCCUGGGCCUUGCUUCCCAGCGGCCACAAAGGAGCAGCUUUCCUCCUCCACACCCUUCCACUGCCAUGAUCCUCCUUCCGUGGUGGCAGCCGACCAUGAACCCUGAGCCGUGAGACCAAUAAAUCACUCCCUU